rnacentral:rRNA from 1 species
AGUGAACGCUGGCGGUAGGCCUAAUACAUGCAAGUCGAACGGCAGCACAGUAGGGGCUUCCUCUUGCGUGUGGCGAGUGGCACGGGUGUGGGAUAUACAGCGAUCUGCCCUUUUUCGGGGGGGAAAACGUGGGGACACACACGCAUAUACCACGUACGCCCUGCGGGUAAACCCAGGAGCUCUUCGCACGUCGCGCGUGUGUAUGAGCAUAUGUCGGAUUAGCUAGUUGGCGGGGUAAAGGCCCACCAAGGCGACGAUCCGUAGCUGGUCUGAGAGGAUGAUCAGCCACACUGGAACUGAGACACGGUCCAGACUCCUACGGGAGGCAGCAGUGGGGAAUAUUGGACAAUGGGCGCAAGCCUGAUCCAGCCAUACCGCGUGGGUGAAGAAGGCCUUCGGGUUGUAAAGCCCUUUUGUUGGGAAAGAAAAGCAGCAGGUUAAUACCCCGCUGUUCUGACGGUACCCAAAGAAUAAGCACCGGCUAACUUCGUG